rnacentral:ncRNA from 1 species
GCAGUUUAAAGGCAAACCUUUUGAAAAAAAGGGACGCAAAGCGAGUGGUCUAAGGGAUUGAACCUAAGACAGCACAGCUGCCUCA